rnacentral:rRNA from 1 species
CUUACAAGUAGUCAGAGCCCGUUAAUGGGUGAUGGCGUGCCUUUUGUAGAAUGAACCGGCGAGUUACGAUUUGAUGCAAGGUUAAGCAGUAAAUGUGGAGCCGUAGCGAAAGCGAGUCUGAAUAGGGCGUUUAGUAUUUGGUCGUAGACCCGAAACCAGGUGAUCUACCCUUGGUCAGGUUGAAGUUCAGGUAACACUGAAUGGAGGACCGAACCGACUUACGUUGAAAAGUGAGCGGAUGAACUGAGGGUAGCGGAGAAAUUCCAAUCGAACCUGGAGAUAGCUGGUUCUCUCCGAAAUAGCUUUAGGGCUAGCCUCAAGUGAUGAUUAUUGGAGGUAGAGCACUGUUUGGACGAGGGGCCCCUCUCGGGUUACCGAAUUCAGACAAACUCCGAAUGCCAAUUAAUUUAACUUGGGAGUCAGAACAUGGGUGAUAAGGUCCGUGUUCGAAAGGGAAACAGCCCAGACCACCAGCUAAGGUCCCAAAAUAUAUGUUAAGUGGAAAAGGAUGUGGCGUUGCCCAGACAACUAGGAUGUUGGCUUAGAAGCAGCCAUCAUUUAAAGAGUGCGUAAUAGCUCACUAGUCGAGUGACACUGCGCCGAAAAUGUACCGGGGCUAAACAUAUUACCGAAGCUGUGGAUUGUCCUUUGGACAAUGGUAGGAGAGCGUUCUAAGGGCGUUGAAGCAUGAUCGUAAGGACAUGUGGAGCGCUUAGAAGUGAGAAUGCCGGUGUGAGUAGCGAAAGACGGGUGAGAAUCCCGUCCACCGAUUGACUAAGGUUUCCAGAGGAAGGCUCGUCCGCUCUGGGUUAGUCGGGUCCUAAGCUGAGGCCGACAGGCGUAGGCGAUGGAUAACAGGUUGAUAUUCCUGUACCACCUAUAAUCGUUUUAAUCGAUGGGGGGACGCAGUAGGAUAGGCGAAGCGUGCGAUUGGAUUGCACGUCUAAGCAGUAAGGCUGAGUAUUAGGCAAAUCCGGUACUCGUUAAGGCUGAGCUGUGAUGGGGAGAAGACAUUGUGUCUUCGAGUCGUUGAUUUCACACUGCCGAGAAAAGCCUCUAGAUAGAAAAUAGGUGCCCGUACCGCAAACCGACACAGGUAGUCAAGAUGAGAAUUCUAAGGUGAGCGAGCGAACUCUCGUUAAGGAACUCGGCAAAAUGACCCCGUAACUUCGGGAGAAGGGGUGCUCUUUAGGGUUAACGCCCAGAAGAGCCGCAGUGAAUAGGCCCAAGCGACUGUUUAUCAAAAACACAGGUCUCUGCUAAACCGUAAGGUGAUGUAUAGGGGCUGACGCCUGCCCGGUGCUGGAAGGUUAAGAGGAGUGGUUAGCUUCUGCGAAGCUACGAAUCGAAGCCCCAGUAAACGGCGGCCGUAACUAUAACGGUCCUAAGGUAGCGAAAUUCCUUGUCGGGUAAGUUCCGACCCGCACGAAAGGCGUAACGAUUUGGGCACUGUCUCAACGAGAGACUCGGUGAAAUCAUAGUACCUGUGAAGAUGCAGGUUACCCGCGACAGGACGGAAAGACCCCGUGGAGCUUUACUGUAGCCUGAUAUUGAAAUUCGGCACAGCUUGUACAGGAUAGGUAGGAGCCUUUGAAACGUGAGCGCUAGCUUACGUGGAGGCGCUGGUGGGAUACUACCCUAGCUGUGUUGGCUUUCUAACCCGCACCACUUAUCGUGGUGGGAGACAGUGUCAGGCGGGCAGUUUGACUGGGGCGGUCGCCUCCUAAAAGGUAACGGAGGCGCUCAAAGGUUCCCUCAGAAUGGUUGGAAAUCAUUCAUAGAGUGUAAAGGCAUAAGGGAGCUUGACUGCGAGACCUACAAGUCGAGCAGGGUCGAAAGACGGACUUAGUGAUCCGGUGGUUCCGCAUGGAAGGGCCAUCGCUCAACGGAUAAAAGCUACCCCGGGGAUAACAGGCUUAUCUCCCCCAAGAGUUCACAUCGACGGGGAGGUUUGGCACCUCGAUGUCGGCUCAUCGCAUCCUGGGGCUGUAGUCGGUCCCAAGGGUUGGGCUGUUCGCCCAUUAAAGCGGUACGCGAGCUGGGUUCAGAACGUCGUGAGACAGUUCGGUCCCUAUCCGUCGUGGGCGUAGGAAAUUUGAGAGGAGCUGUCCUUAGUACGAGAGGACCGGGAUGGACAUACCUCUGGUGUACCAGUUGUCGUGCCAACGGCAUAGCUGGGUAGCUAUGUGUGGACGGGAUAAGUGCUGAAAGCAUCUAAGCAUGAAGCCCCCCUCAAGAUGAGAUUUCCCAACUUCGGUUAUAAGAUCCCUCAAAGAUGAUGAGGUUAAUAGGUUCGAGGUGGAAGCAUGGUGACAUGUGGAGCUGACGAAUACUAAUCGAUCGAAGACUUAAUCAAAUU